CGAAGGGGGCAAGCGUUGUUCGGAUUUACUGGGCGUAAAGCGUACGUAGGCGGAUGAUUAAGUCAGGGGUGAAAUCCCGAGGCUCAACCUCGGAACUGCCUUUGAUACUGGUCAUCUUGAGUCCGGGAGAGGUGAGUGGAACUCCUAGUGUAGAGGUGAAAUUCGUAGAUAUUAGGAAGAACACCAGUGGCGAAGGCGGCUCACUGGCCCGGAACUGACGCUGAGGUACGAAAGCGUGGGGAGCAAACAGGAUUAGAUACCCUGGUAGUCCACGCCGUAAACGAUGGAUGCUAGCCGUCGGGAAGCUUGCUUCUCGGUGGCGCAGCUAACGCAUUAAGCAUCCCGCCUGGGGAGUACGGUCGCAAGAUUA
rnacentral:rRNA from 1 species